CAGCAGCCACGGGAAUACGAGGGGGGCAAGCGUUGUUCGGAAUUAUUGGGCGUAAAGGGCGCGUAGGCGGUUUGGCAAGUUUGGUGUGAAAUCUUCGGGCUCAACCCAUAGUCUGCACGGGAAACUGUCGGGCUUGAGAAUGGGAGAGGUGAGUGGAAUUUCCGGUGUAGCGGUGAAAUGCGUAGAUAUCGGAAGGAACACCUGUGGCGAAAGCGGCUCACUGGACCAUUUCUGACGCUGAUGCACGAAAGCUAGGGGAGCAAACAGGAUUAGAUACCCCGGUAGUCCCUGUCUCUUAUAC
rnacentral:rRNA from 1 species